rnacentral:rRNA from 1 species
UACGUUAGCGGCGACGGGUGAGUAACACGUGGGUAACCUACCUAUAAGACUGGGAUAACUUCGGGAAACCGGAGCUAAUACCGGAUAAUAUUUCGAACCGCAUGGUUCGAUAGUGAAAGAUGGUUUUGCCAUCACUUAUAGAUGGACCCGCGCCGUAUUAGCUAGUUGGUAAGGUAACGGCUUACCAAGGCGACGAUACGUAGCCGACCUGAGAGGGUGAUCGGCCACACUGGAACUGAGACACGGUCCAGACUCCUACGGGAGGCAGCAGCC